GAGAGAGCGCGCAGAGCUGAUCCACAAAAUAAACCCGCCCUGGGGUGCGGCAGCUCGCCGGGGUUUGCCGGCGCCGGGACCGGCCUAAUGAGAUGGCGCUGUUACCCCACAGAGAGGAGGAAAGGACCUCGGACCAUGAAGAAACAAAAUAAGGACGUGGAGGUUCUGUGGACACCUGAGAACCAGAGUCGACAGAGGAAUAUAUUCCAAGUCACACACCCAGAGUCAGGGCUCCCAGGGAAGUGCUCAAGAAUCAGCUUUGUUCACAAACCCCUAAGGCGUUUCUUCUGGUCUGAGAUGCACCUGGUGGGAGUUUUGGGACUGGACUGAAGCCACCACGAAUGGUGCAGCCCAUACCUAAGGUGACCGGCUUCUAAAAUCUAACCAGAUUUUGAUGAGUCUAAUUCUUCAAUGGUUAUAUAAAUAAUAGAGGAAGAACUCGCAAUGUGUGUAUUAAGAAAAAAUGCAUUAAAAUAUUGUGACUGUG